CUUUAUGCCUUGCAUUGCCACUGCAGCUCCUCCACAGAUUUCAUUUGAGCCCCAGGUCUGGAUGUGGCUUUGACGUCAUCUGAACACAAGGCCAUCCUGGUGAAGGAGACGGCGGAGUGCGAGCUAAAGGUGCAAGAGGUGAACUCACUCAGAGGCGUCUUGGUGUCGAGGACCAUAUAACUGGAGAGCUGAGAGAAAUCUCCACUACUCUAUUAUUCAGUCUGGAGCUGCUCAUCACAAUUCAAGAGUGGAUCUAGAGCUCACAGAUCGGGAUUUACCCUGCAGGAGAGAGGACUAACCAAAUUAAUGGCAUAUCUAUAUGUGCGAUAUAUGGAGAGAAAGACGCUGGGGUGCACCUCUACUGGGUCAACCUGGGCAUCCUCUCCUCGGUGGGUCUUGGCACUGGUCUGCACACCUUCCUCCUUUAGCAGGAACCAUACAUUGCAUCUGUGAUGCAGCUCGGGAGUUCCCCAAACCACCCCAUCCACACCAAGUCAUCUGUUCAUCUGUCCCCAUGAUCAUGUACCUUGCUAGGCUCUGAUGCUUAGCAGGUGGGUGUGGAGUUAGACACCGCCCUGAGAAGCGCUUUUCUUUGGACCAUCAUUUCCAAAGUCCGUCUGGAAGCUUAGAUUUGGCAGGGUGAAGGUACUGCUAUAUAGGAGAAUUCCUGCUUACUUCAUGGCACGGGGUGUGCAGCUGUCGGUUGUUGACCCUGAAGGCGAUGCCUACCAGAAUUUUGAGGGCUUGCUUGACAACAGCCUGACGGCACAGGACUUUGCCUCCAGAGUAAAAUUGCUGAUGAGUGCAGAGAUGUGUCCACAAUUUUGGGUUUCUUGGAAUUAUGGCCUAUGCCUCUAAACCAUAUCCUUUCUUGGUCUUGGAAGGAAUAUUGUGGACAUUUUCUGGUCCUGUUCUGGAUUCUUUUUUCUUUCUUUUUUUGCUUCUCUCAUUGGCAAAUUAACAUGCACAUCCAGAAACUGUUUGUGAUCGUCACCUUGAGCAGACACAAAGUGCAGAUGGUCUCUCUCAUUGGAUCUGUUCCACUGCUGGGUGCGGCACUGCAGAAGCCCUUCAGGGAGCACUUGGAGGCCCAGAAGGCCAAACUGCACCAUCACGCUGUAGAGGGGAUCCCAACUGAGGAGGACUGGAUGUCGUGGCUCUUUGAGAAGGUUGUGGUCAUGAUGGUAUGCUUCUUUGUCUGCUCCAUUGUCAACUUCAUGGCCCAGAGCUUCGCCAAGCGCAGGACAAGGCAGAGUGACAGCAGUGCCAUCAACUUCAGAAGCUCCCACCACUCCUUUCCUCAUCACUGCUCUGCCUCCUGGCUGAUACCCCACCAUUAUAUGAAGCUUAAUAUCAGCCCCCAUCUGGUUUCUCUUUUGUUAUUGUAGCAACAUGUUCAUGUUGAACUUGGACUUCAUUUACUUGCGUUUAAAACAUUUUUGCAUUUGGUAGUGAUUUCUGCAGCCGUACUCUGUAAGGUAGGUGCUUGUUGGGUUACGUGAUUGUGUGUAAGCCGUUGUGAUGUUAAAGUGUCUCCUAUGUAGUUGGAGCUCCGAGCAACUCCUGGUCAUUUGAGAAGAAGCUGCUGGUAAUAAUUGUAUUUAGUGAGGCUUAAGCUGCACUAUUUGAGUUUCAGUCACCAGAACGCCCUUGAUUUUGUUUUAAACUAGGAUUUACGCGAGUCCAGUGCGCUACUUGUUCAGCAGCAUGUUAAUAUGUGGUUUAUAUUUUAUUUUAUGAUAAAAGAGUUUAUGAUGUAAGAUGUGGGAUAUUUAUUACUGUAAAGAUUUGUCGUGCAGCAUCAGUUGUGGAUUGACAAGACCGCUAAAUGGACAGUAAAUGAUUGAGUCCCCAGGUUUAUUAGUAGUUGAGUGAAUGAAUGUUUCCGUGUCGGAUGACCUCGUUUUCUGUGAGAGGCAGUAAAACAAAUUUUUCGUAGUUUCGGAUGAGAAAUGAUAAAUCGGCCAUGAAUCACCCUGCUGGUCCCUUUGUCUGCCCUUAUUGUUCUGCUUCCAGGAAGAGAGCACAUGAGUCAGCCUGGAGCUACUUUACCAGAUGCAGCCGUAUAUUGAAUCAGAUCUACAAGCGUGUGCGUGCGUGGCUGUGUUUGAGACACGCAGUGAGACAGACAGAGAUACUAGGUUGUGUUUGCAUGGUUGCCACAUUUGUUGCUCUCUUUUAUCUUUUAUGGAUUAGAGCAGAUUGUGCUCCACUAAUAGACGUGGAGUCUGCUUGGGAGUUGUAGUAUGUCAGAUUGAAGCUUUUCGCUUUAGCUCAGAGACGAUCUGUGUCGUGGUAAGUGUUUUCCCUUUGUCUGCACUUGUCCACUGAGCUUUUUUAAAAAAAAUCAUUCUUACCCCGUGAUGAGGGUUGAAUGCUCAUGUUUGAUAUCACACGAGCAGCUUUUAAAUCAAAUCUCUGAAUUGUAUGUGAUCAGUCUUCAUAUUUGCGUCUUUUUAAAACAUCUUCUGUUCAUCGGGUAACGUCAGCUGGCUCUCAAUAUAUGCAACCGCUUCUUUCUUUCUGUAAUUGCCCGUGAAUUGUGCUAUUUUCUUCUCCCUCUGUGUACCGCUGCUGUGCUACGCUGGACUGAGCGCAGUGGGCGCUAGAGCAGGCACAGGCAGGAGGGGGGAGAAAAAAAAAAGCCUCAAGCGCACAGUGAAAAGCGUCUGUGCCGUUACCUCAGCUGAACCUUCAAAUGAACUCGUUGCACUGCCCCAGUCAUGGAGCCAGGAGACGAAUCACUCGAGUAGAUUCAAAACAGAGAGGCACUGUUGAGCAGGCUGAAGGCUGCGCUCUGCACCAGCUCUAGUCAGAGCACUCACAUCGCCUCUUUUCUCCUGUCAGUGGUAAGUAGGAUUAGGAUUCUUUUGUUUUAAUUUUUUAAUUAUUAUUAUUAUUAUGAUGUUGUGUUUUUUUUUUUUUCAUUGUUGUUUUUGUACAUGUGUACGUCUCCGUCACUCUCGGCCUAUCAGAUAGCUUAUCAGACUGGUGUUGGCUGUUAAGAUUGCAAGGCGACAACAGUCUGUAGGCUGUCUGACAUUUCGGGCUCUUUCAUCUGACCAGCAUCCUGUUUUGUCCUCCCUCUGUUACUGUCAUUGUCUCAGUUAGCAUCAGUUCCCAUUUAGAGAUGUGCGUCGGCGAUGUCACUUCCCUUUAUCCCAACUGCUUGUGAAACGUCAGAGACUCGACUCUAAUGUUUAUAUCCACCACACUGACGCCCCCGAGAGUUUUAUGUGGUUUAAUGUGGGGAACUGUGCUUUGGUUUUUUUUUUGGGGUUUUUUAACAGGUUUUGCAAAUGUAGUGAUGUCAAUUGUGUGCUUCUGUAUUUGUGUGCGUGUCAGUGUGCGUAUGUGUGAGUUGGCUCUGUUCUCUUGAAUUUCCAGAGAAUCCAGACUGUACACACCUUAUUGCAACACAUCACAUUGUGACACCCAGUCCUACGUAUGGUACACACAGUGCUCACACAGUUCCCUUCUUCCCUUUUACACUUCCCUCUUUUACUGAGAACUUUCUUCUGUUGCUCAAUAUGCACAUUUUUUGUAUAAGGCUGCAUUUUAUUGGAACAACUCUUUUGAGGGGGCGUUUUUUUUUUUUUUUUUUUUUUCUUCUAAGAGCCACAAAUUGGUAAUUAUACAAAGCUUAAAAUCACUACUUGACCAGUGGAUACUUUUGCUCCAACACUGCCUCUAGUUUUAUUUUAGAUUCCUCUGUUGUUGUGCAAAAGUGUAAAACUUUUUCCUGGUCAUAAAAGUAAAAACACUGGAUAACACUGGAAUGGCUUGCUGGCUUAGCAAGUGUUUUUCUUGGCAGUUUCAGGAUGUCCUGUUCCAUAAGGGAGCCCCCUUUUGGCAUGCCUGUCUGAAUGUGUGUGUGUGGAGAAAUUCUGUUUAUACUUCUGUGUGUAAGUGCCUGUAUUUCUUGUCUGAUAGAUGUCUGUAACUGGGUUAUUUUAAAUGUGUAUGCAGAGUUUUUUUUUUCCUUCUUCUUCUUGAACUAUAAAUAAAGUUGGUCAGAAAGAA